rnacentral:rRNA from 11 species
UCUAAAAGUCAAAACAUCUAAACACCCUAAAGGCGCAAGGCUCUGUUUGAUCUUGGAAGCUAAGUAGUCCGCUGUAGUUAGUAUUUGGAUGGAAGAUCACUGACAAAUACCAGGUGCUUUAGGU